AGAGAGAGAAGCAAAAAUGGCAGCCUCCUUGAUUUCAUCAGUGACCCUGAAACCAGCAGCUCCAUUCGCUGUGGAGAGAUCAUCGUCAGCGAGAGGCCUUCCUUCUCUCGCCCGCACUUCUCAGCUCAAAGUCGAGGCCAGCGGUGGCAAGAAGAUCAAGACCGACAAGCCUUAUGGGACUCUCCUGUCUCACUCAGUUUAUCGCGUUGACUACCACCGUUCGGACCUUGUGAUUGACCUUUUUCUUUAUUUGUGUCUGGCGUGACAAUCUGUGGCAGGUGUCAAUGGCGGCAUGAGCUUGCAGGAUGGAGUGGACGCGUCUGGCAGGAAGGGGAAGGUUGGUACUUACUUAUCUUGGAUGUUAACUCUUUGUUUCACUGUUCAGCCUUCUCUCCAACUCCAAACCAAAGUGAACGCCUUUCCCUUAAGAUCAGUAAGACACGGAGCGAAUACAUACCAACUGUGUGAUCAGUGACAUGAUGUUUUGGCAAACCUUAUACCUUCUUCAUUUAGUUGACGAUGUCCCGUCCCCGUUGGAUGAGGUACUUUGUAAAAGCGUCGACUUAGAAAACUAACCAAAGGGCUCCAAGAAGACUUGAUGUUGCGUAUGUCUUAGGAUUAAGACUAUCUGUAGCAGAGCAGUUUGCCACGGGAAAGGGCGUGUACCAGUUUGUGGACAAAUAUGGUGCCAAUGUCGACGGAUACAGUCCCAUAUACUCACCCGAAGAAUGGUCUCCCAGUGGUGAUGUCUAUGUCGGAGGUAAGACAGGAUUGGCUAUUUGGGCAGUCACUCUGGGCGGUCUUCUUGCUGGAGGGGCUCUCCUUGUUUACAACACCAGCGCUUUGGCGCAGUAAAACCAAUCCAGCGUAAAUCAAUUCUCCGUCAUAUGUAGCUGCUGUAAAAUAUCUUAAGGUUACUGUACGGGGCUCUCCUUGUCCACAACAUCAGCGCCUUGGCACAAUAAAACCAACUCACGGGAAAUCAAUUCUCGCUGUCACAUGUAGCUGCUGUAAAAUAAUUGAAGGUUACUGUACUUCAUCCUUAUGUACUGCCAUGGGUCAUGAGAAACCUUUUGUCCUGUGAAGGGUGUGAAGGGUAAUGAGUAUGUAUCGUUUAUGGUCUAACUGGAUUUUCACUGGAACGUCCAUUGAUCUUUUCGCUUAGCUUUGUCCUAGAUAAGAAAGUGCGAAACAUUGGCAA